UACGUAGGGACCGAGCGUUGUCCGGAAUCAUUGGGCGUAAAGAGCGUGUAGGCGGCCACUUAAGUCCUGCGUGAAAUCCUGCGGCUACAACCGCAGGCGGUCGUGGGAAACUGGGUGGCUAGAGUGCGGGAGAGGAGAGUGGAAUUCCUGGUGUAGCGGUGGAAUGCGCAGAUAUCAGGAAGAACACCCGUGCGAAGGCGGCUCUCUGGAACGCAACUGACGCUGAGACGCGAAAGCGUGGGGAGCAAACAGG
rnacentral:rRNA from 1 species